rnacentral:rRNA from 1 species
AUUGAACGCUGGCGGCGUGCCUAACACAUGCAAGUCGAACGAGUGGCGGACGGGUGAGUAAUGUCUGGGAAACUGCCUGAUGGAGGGGGAUAACUACUGGAACCGGUAUCUAAUACCGCAUACCAUCAGAUGUGCCCAGAUGGGAUUAGCUUGUUGGUGGGGUAACGGCUCACCCAGGCGACGAUCCCUAGCUGGUCUGCGAGGAUGACCAGCCACACGUGAACUGAGACACGGCCCAGACUCCUACGGGAGGCAGCAGUGGGGAAUAUUGCACAAUGGGCGCAAGCCUGAUGCAGCCAUGCCGCGUGUAUGAAGAAGGCCUUAGGGUUGUAAAGUACUUUCAGCGGGGAGGCGUUACCCGCAGAAGAAGCACCGGCUAACUCCGUGCCAGCCGCCGCGGUAAUAC